AAACCCCCCACAAAGGGCCCCAUUCUGUGGAAGAGGAGGCGGAGUCAUGCAAAAGCUUUUGGAGGAGAAACAGGAACUUUCCCAUUAGGAGAGUCACUGCGCAUAUAUAGAGACAGCCAGGAAACACUAAUACAGAUGUACCAGCAGCAGCAGUGUGGACACGUUGAUGAGGUGUGUGUUUGCCAGCUAAACAUGGCCUCCCUCCCGCCUUUCUGUCUCCAGCAGUAAUCUGGCCUAAUCUCAGGCAGAGAAAUGAGGUCAAUACCGAAGGAGCAGGCUCGUCGUUGUCAGGCAGGCCGACUGUGGGGGGGCCCCCGUUGGUGGCGUCGAGGCCAAGUCCGGUCAACGAGCGGGCCAACGAGACGAGCUUUGCAGAGUGAACGGACGAC